AUGUAAUUCCCGUCAGGGAAUCGUCUGGAAUGGGCCGCGCCGGCAACGGCGCGGCCUUUUUCUUUGCCGGA
rnacentral:sRNA from 1 species